UCUUAUUGCCUAUAUAAACUAUGAAAACAUAACAUCAACAAUACUCACUUUUAAUUAAAUGUAUCUUACACAUAUAUCCAUUUAUUUCAUGUUGCUAGAAAAGUAUAUUAGCAAAGAUUGCUUAUACAACGUGAUAUCGUAAGAAAGAGUAAUAUUCCGUAAACUUCCAAAAGUUUGAUACUAGAACACACUAAAUAUGAUAUUAAAUCAUAAAUCAGAAGCGAACGCGAGGUUAGGAUAUCUAUCACAUCUGGAUAUUCAAACAUUUGGAAAUUUACGGAAUUUGCUCCUUUUCUUACGAAUAACGUUGGAUAAGCAAUCUUACCUAAUAUAUGCGAUUAUUUUAGCAACAUAAGAUAAGUAGAUGUAUAUGCAUAUUUAAUUAAAGAUGAGUGUAUUGUUGUUAUAUUUUCAUAAUUGAGUAAACUCUUUGAUAGAAAUAAUGCAUGCUGUGUGCUACAUAUACAAGUGCUGGGAUAAAUAGUGUAACUACAGCAACAGUGAAAUAUUUUUAUUUUGUUUUCUAAUUGUUUGUCAAGUCCAAGAGAAGCCUGAGUUAUUAUGAAUGAUUAUACGCGUAAGAUUGCAAUUCAAAAGAUAUCUUCUGGUCACGCUGCUUAUUAAUAUUGUAUUAUGUUUAUUUCUAUUUUAGCAGAAGACAGUGUGAUAGAUAAAUAAUAAUUUGCACAGAUCCAAAAUGCACCGAGUCUCAAGAGGGAAUCCAUUACAAACCAUGAGUAUCUGUUAAGCGAGAGCUUAAUAUUAUAGUCUCCGCUAAUAGAAUUAUGUAAUGGAAUGAUCAACACCCAUUCAUUCAUCUGUAGAAAUUCUUGAAGUAUUAAUGAUUUUAUAUUGUUGACGAUUAGAAGACAACUUGUAUUGUUAUUCAGUGAAUAUGUCAGAAAAGAUAGUGCUUAACAUAUCAUAUUUAAAGAUAGCAUAUUGCAUUAUAUAUAUUACAUGUAUCUUAUGUACAUUCAUGUAAAAAUCUGUUAAUUUUUUAUUUUUAAUUUAUUUAUUAAAUUUACAUUUAUAUUGGACAAUAUGUUUAUACAUAUAACUUUCUGGAGAAUGUAUCUGUAUCGUUAUAAUUAUAUUUGUAAAAAUUAUAUUUAAGGAUUUAUAUGUAUAUAUACUAUCUCACAUAAUGCAUAUCUUAAAAUAUGGUGUUAGAAUAAUCUGGAUUAAAAUAUAUCCUUAUAAUUGCAUAUCAAUAUGUUUCGUAUAUGUUGCCUGUAAACAAUUAAGAAUUGUACUAUUCUAUUUUGCAAAUAAAAUCUCACAUAUGUCGGGGCAUUGUGAAAUAAGUGCUAGAAAUAAUUGAUGGUGUCUCUGCAAUACCAGUUUUGCAAUACCUAUUGUGCAACUACCAUAUGAAUAAAUAUUUGCAAACA